rnacentral:rRNA from 1 species
GAUGAACGCUAGCGGGAGGCCUAACACAUGCAAGCCGAGCGGUAUUGUUUCUUCGGACAUGAGAGAGCGGCGUACGGGUGCGUAACACGUGUGCAACCUGCCUUUAUCUGGGGGAUAGCCUUUCGAAAGGAAGAUUAAUACUCCAUAAUAUAUUGAACGGCAUCGUUUAAUAUUUAAAGCUCCGGCGGAUAGAGAUGGGCACGCGCAAGAUUAGCUAGUUGGUGAGGUAACGGCUCACCAAGGCGAUGAUCUUUAGGGGGCCUGAGAGGGUGAUCCCCCACAAUGGUACUGAGACACGGACCAGACUCCUACGGGAGGCAGCAGUGAGGAAUAUUGGUCAAUGGGUGCAAGCCUGAACCAGCCAUCCCGCGUGAAGGACGACUGCCCUAUGGGUUGUAAACUUCUUUUGUAUAGGGAUAAACCUACCCUCGAGAGGGUAGCUGAAGGUACUAUACGAAUAAGCACCGGCUAACUCCGUG